rnacentral:ncRNA from 1 species
GAAAACAAAGUAUUAGGGAAGAAUAUUCAUGAAAUUAAGAAAGCGUCAACUUUGAAGCAAUUAGCAGAACCUGUGGAGUGCUCAAAUAGUAAACUUCGACACCACAUGUAUAUAUGUGAUGAUGUUAGUUGGACUAGUGACAAGACUGUCCCGUAAGCGUUCACAGAUGUGUGCUUUGUUUUCGUAAUAAGUGUCCUGAUCGAGCAAUAGAGUAGUCGAGCUAGAACUAGUAGGGACUCGUGGAAUCCGAUUGUCUAAUUGAAUCAGAUGGGACAUGAUUGUUGCGGACGUUUACUGCUGAUUUCUGCCCAGUGCUCUGAAUGUUAAAUCAUAGUAAUUCGAGUAAGCGCGAGUUAACGCCGUGAAAGAAUGUGACGUUCUUAAGAUAGACAAAUGUCUCGUCAGCUGACUACUGACCCGUAUGAAUAUAUUAACAAGAUUCUGACUAUCCCUAACUACUAUCUAACGGAACCGCAGCCAAAGGAACGGGCUGGGCAAAAAUAGCGGGGAAAGAAGAACCUGUUGAGAAUGACAGUUUGACAUUGCGAGGAAUCAUGAGAGGUAUAGUAUAGGUGGGUGAUUAAUGAUUAGUAGUCGAUGAUCGACAAUGAAAUACCACCACUUUCAUCGAUUUUUCACUUAUUCGGUAAGAAGAGGAUUGAGUUUUGACUCUUUAUCUGUCUUAUUGUUGUCCUAUCUACUUUAUUUGUUAUAAGUACGGUCAUCUGGUAACUAUACGACUCUCAUCGAAGAUAGUGUCAGGCGGGAAACUUCACUGGAGCUGUACAUCCGUUAAAAUGUAACGCAGAUGUCCUAAGGUUAGCUCAGUGAGGCGGAGUAGAAGGGAAAAAGGUCGCUCGAUCUUGACUUUCAGUACGAGUACAGACCGCGGAAACUUAGCCCAUCAAUCCUUUUAAUCCAGAUAGUUUACCGUAAAGGAUGUCGAAAAAGUUACCACAGACACAGAUUUUAAAUUGAGCUCUUAAGAU